rnacentral:rRNA from 1 species
GACGAACGCUGGCGGCGUGCUUAACACAUGCAAGUCGAACGAUGAAGCGGGUGCUUGCACUCGUGGAUUAGUGGCGAACGGGCGAGUAACACGUGAGUAACCUGUCCUUUUCUUUGGGAUAACGGCUGGAAACGGCUGCCAAUACUGGAUAUUCAGGCUGCAUCGCAUGGUGUGGUUUGGAAAGGUUUUUUCUGGGAUUGGGUGGGCUCGCGGCCUAUCAGCUUGUUGGUGGGGUGAUGGCUUACCAAGGCUUUGACGGGUAGCCGGCCUGAGAGGGUGGUCGGUCGCACUGGGACUGAGGUACGGCCCAGACUCCUACGGGAGGCAGCAGUGGGGAAUAUUGCACAAUGGACGAAAGUUUGAUGCAGCGACGCCGCGUGGAGGGUGUAGGCCUUCGGGUUGUGAACUCCUUUGUCUCGCGAAAAAGGCACAGUUUUGGCUGUGUUGAUGGUAGUGGGGGAAGAAGCGCCGGCUAACUACGUG